GACGAACGCUGGCGGCGUGCCUAGUACAUGCAAGUCGAGCGAGCUUGCCUAGAUGAAUUUGGUGCUUGCACCAAAUGAAACUAGAUACAAGCGAGCGGCGGACGGGUGAGUAACACGUGGGUAACCUGCCCAAGAGACUGGAUAACACCUGGAAACAGAUGCUAAUACCGGAUAACAACACUAGACGCAUGUCUAGAGUUUAAAAGAUGGUUCUGCUAUCACUCUUGGAUGGACCUGCGGUGCAUUAGCUAGUUGGUAAGGUAACGGCUUACCAAGGCAAUGAUGCAUAGCCGAGUUGAGAGACUGAUCGGCCACAUUGGGACUGAGACACGGCCCAAACUCCUACGGGAGGCAGCAGUAGGGAAUCUUCCACAAUGGACGCAAGUCUGAUGGAGCAACGCCGCGUGAGUGAAGAAGGGUUUCGGCUCGUAAAGCUCUGUUGGUAGUGAAGAAAGAUAGAGGUAGUAACUGGCCUUUAUUUGACGGUAAUUACUUAGAAAGUCACGGCUAACUACGUGCCAGCAGCCGCGGUAAUACGUAGGUGGCAAGCGUUGUCCGGAUUUAUUGGGCGUAAAGCGAGUGCAGGCGGUUCAAUAAGUCUGAUGUGAAAGCCUUCGGCUCAACCGGAGAAUUGCAUCAGAAACUGUUGAACUUGAGUGCAGAAGAGGAGAGUGGAACUCCAUGUGUAGCGGUGGAAUGCGUAGAUAUAUGGAAGAACACCAGUGGUGAAGGCGGCUCUCUGGUCUGCAACUGACGC
rnacentral:rRNA from 1 species